rnacentral:tRNA from 1 species
AAGAGAGAUAUAAGAACUGCUAACUCUUAAGCCCGUAACUAAACUUACGGCUCUCUUA